UAAGUGUCCAUGGACAAAAAGAAAAAAAAAAACCAUUUUGUUUACUGUGGUGGGUUUGACAAAAAGUGAGUGCAGGUGUGUGUCGUCAUUCGGGAUUUAUUCGAUUUCAAAGAAGGAAGCGAGCAGAACGAUGAAGAACUUGGCAGCACGGUUAGAGAGAAUAAUGAAAAUGAAGGGAAUUAUUUAAGUUUCAACAUAAAAGAUUCGUUAUGGUUAGAUAAUUUGAAAGAAAAACGUGGAAGUAUUAUAUUGGAUUUGUUGAGAUCAUAGAAUUUAAAAAUGACGAAACAUAUUACAAAAUAAUUUUUUUUUUAAAUGUUAAGAUUUCAAAUAAUUCUGUAAAAUUCUUAGUGCAAAGAAAGUUAGAUCUUGAUUCUGUGACCACAAUUUCUAUAGUAAAAAAGAUAAAUUUGAUUCAGUUAGAGACAGAUUCAAAAGAAUAUUAUCUGCAAAAUGAUGAAGAUACUGUAUUUUUUAUUUAAAUAUUUUAAAUCAUUUGUUAGUUGACAUAAGUAAAAGUGGUUACCUAGUUCCUUUUUUGUGAUUUUAUUGAUUAAUUAGUACACAUUGUGUUUUAAGUACCUAUUUAAUGAAUAGACAUUUUAGAAGAUUU